CCUACGGGAGGCAGCAGUGAGGAAUAUUGGUCAAUGGGCGCGAGCCUGAACCAGCCAAGUCGCGUGAAGGAUGACUGCCCUCCGGGUUGUAAGCUUCUUUUAUAAAGGAAUACAGUGAGGCACGUGUGCCUUUUUGUAUGUACUUUAUGAAUAAGGAUCGGCUAACUCCGUGCCAGCCGCCGCGGUACUACGGAGGAUCCGAGCGUUAGCAGGAUUUAUUGGGUGUAAAGGGAACGGAGAUGGGUUGUUAAGUUAGUUGUGAAAGUUUGCGGCUCAACCGUAAAAUUGCAAUUGAUACUGGCAGUCUUGAGUACAGUAGAGGUAGGCGGAAUUCGUGGUGUAGCGGUGAAAUGCUGAGAGAUCACGAAGAACUCCGAUUGCGAAGGCAGCUUACUAAACUGCCACUGACAUUGAUGCGCGAAAGUGUGGGUAUCAAACAGGAUUAGAUACCCGGGUAGUC
rnacentral:rRNA from 1 species